rnacentral:tRNA from 1 species
AAAUAAGUAAGCUAAAAAAGCUAAUGGGUUCAUACCCCAUCUAUAAAGGUUUCCCCUUUCUUAUUUA